UUUUAGGAUAAUUUAGGGGUUGGGGAAAUGAGAAGCUGGGGAAUGGUGGCCGAGAUAGGGAUUAGGGAGUGGAGAAGGGUAGAUUUCGGCUAGGGUUUUGAAAGGGGAAAAAAUGAACAGUGGUUUGCUUAUAUAGGGGAGGACCACACGGCCUAGGGCCACGUCCGUGUACUCUGAAGGUGAGCCCGAGUUUUUCGAGUUUUGCAAUUUAGGUCAUGCCCGGCUACUAUCCCACGCCCGUGUGUCUUGGGCGUGUGUGGCAUGUUGCACAGUUGUGCCUAGCUUUGUUCGCUUCUCC
rnacentral:lncRNA from 1 species